UUCCAGACUCCUACGGGAGGCAGCAGUGGGGGAUAUUGCACAAUGGGGGGAACCCUGAUGCGGCGACGCCGCGUGGGUGAAGAAGCGCCUUGGCGCGUAAAGCCCUGUCAGCAGGGAAGAAAAUGACGGUACCUGAAGAAGAAGCCCCGGCUAACUACGUGCCAGCAGCCGCGGUAAUACGUAGGGGGCAAGCGUUAUCCGGAUUUACUGGGUGUAAAGGGAGCGCAGACGGCAGUGCAAGUCUGGAGUGAAAGCCCGGGGCCCAACCCCGGAACUGCUCUGGAAACUGUGCGGCUAGAGUACUGGAGGGGCAGGCGGAAUUCCUAGUGUAGCGGUGAAAUGCGUAGAUAUUAGGAGGAACACCAGUGGCGAAGGCGGCCUGCUGGACAGUAACUGACGUUGAGGCUCGAAAGCGUGGGGAGCAAACAGGAUUAGAUACCCUUGUAGC
rnacentral:rRNA from 1 species